AGAGUUUGAUCCUGGCUCAGAUUGAACGCUGGCGGCAGGCCUAACACAUGCAAGUCGAGCGCGAAAGCCUUUCGGGGUGAGUAGAGCGGCGGACGGGUGAGUAACGCGUAGGAAUCUACCUGGUAGUGGGGGACAACUUGGGGAAACCCAAGCUAAUACCGCAUACGCCCCAAGGGGGAAAGCGGGGGAUCUUCGGACCUCGCGCUAUUGGAUGAGCCUGCGUAGGAUUAGCUAGUUGGUGAGGUAAAGGCUCACCAAGGCGACGAUCCUUAGCUGGUCUGAGAGGAUGAUCAGCCACACUGGAACUGAGACACGGUCCAGACUCCUACGGGAGGCAGCAGUGGGGAAUAUUGCGCAAUGGGGGAAACCCUGACGCAGCCAUGCCGCGUGUGUGAAGAAGGCCUUAGGGUUGUAAAGCACUUUCAAUUGGGAAGAAAAGCUCGUCGUUAAUAGCGGCGAGCCCUGACAUUACCUUUAGAAGAAGCACCGCUAACU
rnacentral:rRNA from 1 species